CCCCUCUCAGGGUCACAACUGGAGAGUUUCCAGUACUCUACCAGUCUCGACUACGGGAGGGAGAGUAAAGCAAAGACACAUCCAUUCCAUUCCUAGCUUGGGUGGUGGCUAGCGAGUGGAAAGCAAUCUGCUACAAGU